AAAUUUCAAAUGCAUGAGUUUUGAAAAUUAUGAGAUGAUCUUGUAUUGAGGGUUUGAAAUGUUGUAUCCUAUCAUGUUAGGUAUGAUAUUUUAUUCAUUCUCAGCGAGAGAAUCUCAAUAUCCGAUUCAAGAUAUCUAAACGUUUUUCAAGGAACUGCGUUUUAAAUUUUUUUUCCAAAUUUUCAAUAUUAGCACAUUAAUUGAUCAAUACAGUACCAAUUUUGGGCGCUGCGAGGGUGCUA
rnacentral:lncRNA from 1 species